UAGCUGUGCAUUUGUUGCAAGCAGUCCUUCGGUCAUGGGACAAGACCAAAAGGGCGAGGGACAUGAAAUGCCUGGUGGAGAAGCUGUUUGACUUCUUGGGGAGCUUGCUCACUACCUGCUCCUCUGACGUGCCAUUACUCAGAGAGUCCAUGCCGAGGUGGCGCAGGGUGUGCCCGCAGGCCUUGCUGACUGCCACCCAUAGCAGCACACUGGUGGAGGUGGUGGUGGCACUGCUGUGCACGCUGCACUCCCUGACUCAGUGGAAUGGGCUCAUCAACAAGUACAUCAACUCCCAGCUCCGCUCCAUCACCCACAGCUUUGCGGGAAGGCCUUCUGAAGGGGCCCAGUUAGAGGACUACUUCCCCAACUCCGAGAACCCUGAAGUGGGGGGCCUCAUGGCGGUCCUGGCUGUGAUUGGAGGCAUCGAUGGUCGCCUGUGCCUGGGCGGCCAAAUUGUGCACGAUGAGUUUGGAGAAGGCACCGUGACUGGCAUCACCCCGAAGGGCAAAAUCACCGUGCAGUUCUCUGACAUGCGGACGUGUCACAUUUGCCCAUUGAAUCAGCUGAAACCAGUAGGUGAACUUGUGCUCAGUUACUGUAUGAUAAGGGAAAUUGGCUUUACACUAGGACCCAGCACCAACAUUAGCACUUGAAAGAACUUGAUUCUGGUACUUCAAGUUUGCCUUCUAGGAAGCUGUGUGAGCUUGCGCUUCUGUGGUGAGCAGGGCCUGUCUCACAGGGCACCUAAAGCAGUGGUUCCUGUGUUUUUCAGCCUCAGAGACAUGAAGAGGGCUUUAGCAACCUAGAAGGUACCGUGCGUCUAUGAGGUAGUUCUAAUUAUUUUAAAAUGUGAAUUUAUGAAGUUUACUUUUUAUUGAACAACUCAAGUUUUAAAAAAACUUUUUUUUAAGUUUUUUUUUUCUUUUAUUAUUAUACUUUAAGUUUUAGGGUAAAUGUGCACAUUGUG
rnacentral:lncRNA from 1 species